rnacentral:rRNA from 1 species
UACGAAGGGGGCUAGCGUUGCUCGGAAUCACUGGGCGUAAAGGGUGCGUAGGCGGGUCUUUAAGUCAGGGGUGAAAUCCUGGAGCUCAACUCCAGAACUGCCUUUGAUACUGAGGAUCUUGAGUUCGGGAGAGGUGAGUGGAAUUCCUAGUGUAGAGGUGAAAUUCGUAGAUAUUAGGAAGAACACCAGUGGCGAAGGCAGCUCUCUGGGACGGUACUGACGCUGAGACGCGAAAGCGUGGGGAGCGAACAGG